rnacentral:lncRNA from 1 species
AUGUCACCACCGAGCGCCACCAGCUCCUCCAGGCUGAGUGGCAAGGCAGGCUGUCACAGAGUGCCCACACAAAGAGCCUCUGCAGGACAGCAGGGUGUCGGCAUGGAGAGGGCAAGGUACAAAGCUGUCUCACAGGCCUGCCAGUUAAACACCCCCCAUGGGGCCAUCGCUGAAGGGCCAGGCCGCGGCUGGAGGGAAAAGCAACCCCAGCACGGUCACCCCAGCCGUGCCGUGAUGCUGGCGACAGUCGCUGCUGGCCAGCACAAGAAGGCACAGCAAGCAACAGGGCUGGCAGGGUCAGGAGACAACAGCAGGAAUGGAAGCACAGGGGCGGAAGGCACGUUAACGGAGACAAUCAGCCAAGGCAACAGAAGAGAGAGAGGGACCUCAUGGAGCAGGACUCCUGGGCAUCUUCCUCAAAUGGCUGUGAAAGACAGGGUGGCCAGCACAGCAGUCCUGUACAUGGGCCACAGCAGAAGGAACCUGGGAAGGCACUGUGGCAAGGUCACGACUGCAGCAGGAAUUGGACGCAACAACUGCUACAUUGCACUGAGCCCCUCCACCAAGACCAGGCAGAUCAAUAGGCUGAAGGCACAUCAGCAGAAGGGGAGGAGAAGAGCACACAGCCUCCUAGCCAAGACUGCAAGUGCCAAGACGUAUCUUGUGUGAAACCCAAACCGGACUGACAGCACAAGGAAAGUGUCUGACUUGUAAAAUCACCAGCUAUUAAGAGCAGGGAACUGCUUGACAUUCAGCUCCCUAAAUAAAUAUAUAUAUAGGUACUUCUAACCCUUCUGC